UCAGGCCUAACACAUGCAAGUCGUACGAGGUGUAAAUAAUUCACUUGUGAAUUGUUUAUUACUACAGUGGCGCACGGGUGAGUAACACGUAAGAACCUGCCUUUUGGAGGGGGAUAACAUAGGGAAACCUUUGCUAAUACCCCAUAAAGCUGAGGAGCUAAAUCGCAUUUGCGGCCAAGAGAGGGGCUUGCGCCUGAUUAGCUAGUUGGGGAGGUAAUGGCUUCCCAAGGCCACGAUCAGUAGUUGGUCUGAGAGGAUGAUCAGCCACACUGGGACUGAGACACGGCCCAGACUCCUACGGGAGGCAGCAGUGAGGAAUUUUCCGCAAUGGGCGAAAGCCUGACGGAGCAAUACCGCGUGAAGGAAGAGGGAUCGUGGUCUGUAAACUUCUUUUCUCAGAGAAGAAGAU
rnacentral:rRNA from 1 species